UCACUCUUUCCAUCUUCAUUCCGGAUGCCAGACUGCACUCUGAGCAACAGGGACACAGCCGUGUCCAGGACAUGCAAGGCCCUUCCUCUCAUGGUGUGCCUCCUGUGUGCCAGUGGAAAGUCUAGGGACAAGGAGUCCUGGUUUCUCUUCCUACUGAGCCUACAGCUGUGAUGUGAGACAAACAAGGAAUGCCCUAAGUGUCCGGAGCUGAAGUAGCUCCCCUGGCCCGAGUUGAUUCACUUCCAACUCCCUGGGCAGCCCCGGAGACAACGCAGGAAUGUGUUAAAUGAUCUUGUCUUCCCAACAAAAAGACAAGCACCAGGCUAUCAGCAGACACAUCUCUGUGAGUUCAGGACCCACAGAGACAGGACUGCAGGGGCUCUGGUCAUGCAGGCCCAGGCAGCUCUGGACAAAGAGGGGAAAGCUGACAAGAACUGGCCUCUUGGCUUCUGCUACAACCUUCGCUAAAAGAAGCACGUGCAGCAGGCAUCUGUGAGUGGGCCCCUCCCGGCCCCGGGCGAGCCUGAGAGGCGGGAGCGGUUUCAUCUGAGCAGUGAACUGAACUACACCUGCUCCCUGAGCGCCACCAGCCCUGGCUGAUUUACCAUCAUCCUUCCAGCCUCACUCUAAAGGCCGGGAGCCCUGGGUCUUUCCCACACACCUCAUAAAUAAGCUCAUUUCGCUCUCUGGAGGUAAAACAACAACAACAACAAAACAAACAAAACCUAAAAACACACACAAAAACAAAACAGCCUCCUUCCAGACAUCACCCUACCUUUUGUCAUUCCUCCUCAGCAGAGAUUUUUUUUAAAGAGUUGUCUCUAAUUAGCUAUUUUGUCAAAUCUGAUUCCUUCUUCUUCAACCCACUGCAAUCUGCUUCCGCCCCCACCAUGCCCCUGAAAUGGCUCUCACUAGGCCCACCGUGUUGCUAAAUCCACUGGACAUCCUUGGUCCACAUCCCUCUGACUCCCCCACAGAGCUCACACACAGCUGCCACACUUCCUUCCUGCCUGCCUGCUGGCCUUCCAGGGUAUCCACUCCCGAGGGGCUCCUGACACUCUGCGGGUCCACCUCCUGGGCCUCGGUAGCCACUUUCAUUUCUCCAUCAAAACCUUCAACUGCCCCCACCCCAAUAUUCCAUGCUCUGCAGGUACGUCAGGUGUCGUGGAUUUUAAGAAAUUCCUAGCUUGGUGAGAUGGCUCAGCAGGUACAGUAAUUCUCGGCAUGAGCCUGAAGACCUGGGUUUGAUGCCCGGCCCGCCACGAAGUUGUCCUCUGACCUUCACAUGUAAUCACAACAACAUAUGCAGGUUACCCCUACUUCAAAACAAUGUUUGAAGUGUUCUGUGGUGGUAUGUGUGUAAACAAAACAAACAAUGAUAA